rnacentral:snoRNA from 1 species
AAUUAAUUUAUCAAAAUCCAGCCCUACCUAUAUCCUAGUCUUAUGUCAAAAGCAUGUGAUGUGAUAUGAUUGCUGGGUUUCAGAAGUAAAAUAUUAAAACAAAGCUUUGAGUCUUUUAAGCCAAUGUGUAAGGAUAUACUCUGAGUUGUGACUCAGAGACACACCU